UACGAAGGGGGCUAGCGUUGUUCGGAAUUACUGGGCGUAAAGCGUGCGCAGGCGGCUUCUCAAGUCAGGGGUGAAAGCCCGGAGCUCAACUCUGGAAUUGCCUUUGAGACUGAGUGGCUUGAGUACGAGAGAGGUGAGUGGAAUUCCCAGUGUAGAGGUGAAAUUCGUAGAUAUUGGGAAGAACACCGGUGGCGAAGGCGGCUCACUGGCUCGUAACUGACGCUCAUGCACGACAGCGUGGGGAUCAAACAGG
rnacentral:rRNA from 1 species